UUGACUCACGCGGGAAUCUUACCGGGUCCGGACACACUGAGGAUUGACAGAUAUACGCUCAUUGCAGUUCGCUGCAUGAGCUGAAAGAUGCUAGUUCUUUCAUGAUUAUGUGAUAGGUGGUGCAUGGCCGUUCUUAGUUCGUGGAGUGAUCUGUCUGCUUAAUUGCGUAUCAAUAAUAGAGACCUAGUAUACGCGUGGAUUUCGCGUGGUAGUGACCCCCUGUUUAACGACAGGCGUGUGUCGCACACGCGUACCUACGCACUGGUCUCAGAUAGCAACGAACGUGACCGUAUUCUAUUGUUGCAGUGAAAUGUGCCUUCGGGUACGACCCACUGCUUAGUAUAUGUACGUGCUUCGGCGCGAACAAUAUACAUUAAACUAUAGAGACCGCUGUUUCUUCUUUAAACCAGAGGAAGGAUAC
rnacentral:rRNA from 2 species